rnacentral:rRNA from 1 species
AUUGAACGCUGGCGGCAGGCCUAACACAUGCAAGUCGAGCGAGCGGCGGACGGGUGAGUAAUGUCUGGGAAACUGCCUGAUGGAGGGGGAUAACUACUGGAACCGGUAGCUAAUACCGCAUACCAUCAGAUGUGCCCAGAUGGGUUUAGCUAGUAGGUGGGGUAAUGGCUCACCUAGGCGACGAUCCCUAGCUGGUCUGAGAGGAUGACCAGCCACACGGGAACUGAGACACGGUCCAGACUCCUACGGGAGGCAGCAGUGGGGAAUAUUGCACAAUGGGCGCAAGCCUGAUGGAGCCACGCCGCGUGUGUGAAGAAGGCCUUCGGGUUGUAAAGCACUUUCAUCGAGGAGGCGUUACUCGCAGAGAAAGCCCCGGCUAACUCCGUGCCAGCAGCCGCGGUAAUAC